rnacentral:rRNA from 1 species
AGAUUGAACGCUAGCGGGAUGCUUUACACAUGCAAGUCGAACGGCAGCGCGGACUUCGGUCUGGCGGCGAGUGGCGAACGGGUGAGUAAUAUAUCGGAACGUGCCCAGUAGCGGGGGAUAACUACGCGAAAGCGUGGCUAAUACCGCAUACGCCCUACGGGGGAAAGGGGGGGAUUCUUCGGAACCUCUCACUAUUGGAGCGGCCGAUAUCAGAUUAGCUAGUUGGUGAGGUAAAGGCUCACCAAGGCGACGAUCUGUAGCUGGUUUGAGAGGACGACCAGCCACACUGGGACUGAGACACGGCCAGACUCCACGGGAGCAGCAGUGGGAAUUUGGACAAGUGGGGGAAACCUGGAAUCCGAGCCACUCCCGCGUGUGCGAUGAACGGCCUUCGGGUUAGUAAGGUCGUACGUUU